ACCUGAAAUUAACACAGCAUUGUAAAUCAACUAUGCUUCAGUAAAAAGAAAAAUGUCUCCAGACAUCGCCAAGUGUCUCCAAGAUUGAGGUAUGGGGUCAAAAUGCGCUCAAUAGAGAACUGCCCUAUUAGCUCAAGUAGAAAUCUAGACUUUUUCUUUUCUUUGAUCAUAUUACUGUGUGAUGUUGUGGAUAGCAUGUUACUUGAAUCCAGGGUGUCUAACUGCAUUCCCCGCCCCCACAUUAUCAAAAAAGUGAUCUUGGACAUUGAGUCCUAUGCCUUCAGCCACCCCCAUUACACCUCUGCAGGGGAGUGGGUGUCAUGUUAACUGUCUAGAGAAGUGUCUACUCUGAGCUCAAGGUGCUAUUCCUGCUUUCCUACAAAUGAAUUAAAUCAACUAAAACAAUCUAUAAACUCUGCAGGGCUCCAUCAUUAAGGCAAACAUACAAAAUGAGUCAAAGUGAAAAGUCAGCUUUCCCCUGAAGUGUGACUUUUUAAAUUAGUUGAAUUGAUUACAAGGUCAGCAAUAAUGGCGUAUUAACACCACCCUGAUCCAUGCCGUGUGACGGGCAGAUUUUAAGAGUGUGGGUGAUGGAGGGGAGGGUGGAGUGUGUAGUUGAGUCCAUUCCAGGAGGUGAUUCUGGAUGCUGUGAAGGAGACCUCACCCUGACUUGCAGACUCAACUUUAGAAAUUUCUCUCUGUAUGCCAGACCCCACAUCCACCACUAGAUGUCACCCUGGUCCCACCAAAGUUUCUCACUAACGCACAUGAUCGUUUCAGGGUCCAUGGAAGCCGUGAAGAAGGAAAUGAAAGGCCUGAUUAGCUGCCUCUUGCCCACAAAUGAUGCCGUAGGUACAGGAUGCUGUGAGGAUGAAGUGAAAUGGAGCACACUGUGCGGAGCUGGGCUGCAGCAGAUAAAGCUCGCCCCAAACGCCCUGAAAGUCCCUGUUUGCAGAGAGCAAAGCAGCUUGCCCAACCACAGGCCCCUUAAACAAGAGAUACGACUUUUAACAUAAAGGAAUGCUAUUACAGCAGGAAUGUGCUGCCCAACGGCAGGAAGAGAUGAGCUCAUCGUGUUUUCAGCAGAUGAGUAAAAUGGGAAGCAAGAAUUUCAAUGACAUGAACCUGGUGACAAACAGCAGAAGUCUGAGCCAGCGUCCCACGUGAUAAGGAAGAGGCUCGAGGGGUCUGAAAUCUACUACGAUUCCAUUGCAGAAGUUCCACUGGCUUUGACAUAACACAAGGAACCAGCCAAAUGCAGCCUGUUUAGAUUACUUGUAUUUACUGUAUUUGCAGUAACAAAGAUGUAUCACAUAUAACGUUAUGCAUCCUAGUAAUCUAUCCAGAAUAACCUCCUCCUUAGUAUGCAUUCUGACCCUUGCAUGCCUUUUUAGAAAGUGAGUGGAAACCACAGUACCUCAGUCUCCACGUGGGUCCCUGUUGUGUUCCGAGGAGGUGUUCUCUCUCCCCAGUGGCCCCUGGGCUGUCGUGUGCUUUGGAUCUUAUACAAGGCUUUCAGCAGAAGGAGGGUCGGAAUGUCUGGCUAGGGACUUGAGCUUCCCACCUCCAGAGAGCAGAGGGACAGCAUAUGGCCUGGCAGAUACAGCGACUCCCUCAAGCUGUGGACCCCAGGGACUCACGCUCUGGUGGGGCACUCCUCCCCCACCAGAGGUGGAUUUCCCAAGAGGCGCUGCUGUUUACACCCCUGCUAGGAUGGAGGUACAUAAAUGAGACAACCCUAAUAUGAUUAGUUUACACGUGGACACUUAUCUGACUCUAGGUCUCAUGGUGAGCCAUACGCAUACACAUACAUGUUGAUCUUUCUAAGAUGUGGUGACCUUACAUGCUGAUGCUGAUGAAUGGCUGUGACCAGAAUUGGGACCUCAAAUCUAAAUUAUACACACAAUAUGUGAAAGAACAUAUAUGUAAAAGUACAUAUGGCAGAGUUAAAUAAACAAAAAAUAGUCUUAAAAAAAUUAUACACACAUAUUUCAUACCAUGUCCCUGAUGGCUGGUGAAAUGACUUGGGACUGUCAGACAAUUUUAGAUGAUUUUUUUUUAAAUUAAACUACAAAAAAGUAUGCAGUCUGGAA